GCCGCCGUAGUCUAGCGGCUAGGAUGGCGGGUUGUGGUCCCGUUGACCCGGGUUCAAAUCCCGGCGGCGGCC
rnacentral:tRNA from 1 species